UGGCUAGGAUGAAAUUUGAAAAAAUAGGCAGGACAGGAGUUUUGAGUAAAAAAAAGGCAGGAUGAACAACUUGGUAAAAAAAAAAGGCAGGAUGACAUUUUAUGUAAAAAAAAGUCAGGAUAAACUAGUAAAAAAAAGGCAGGACCGAAUAGAGUAAAAAAUAAUAAAAAGGCAGGACAGGGAUUACAACUAAAAAAAAAAGCAGGAC
rnacentral:lncRNA from 1 species